AUUGAACGCUGGCGGCAUGCUUUACACAUGCAAGUCGAGCGGCAGCGCGGGGCAACCUGGCGGCGAGCGGCGAACGGGUGAGGAAUACAUCGGAACGUACCCCGGAGUGGGGGAUAACGCCGCGAAAGCGGCGCUAAUACCGCAUAUGCUCUGAGGAGGAAAGUGGGGGACCGCAAGGCCUCACGCUCUGGGAGCGGCCGAUGUCCGAUUAGCUAGUUGGUGGGGUAAUGGCUUACCAAGGCGACGAUCGGUAGCUGGUCUGAGAGGAUGAUCAGCCACACUGGGACUGAGACACGGCCCAGACUCCUACGGGAGGCAGCAGUGGGGAAUUUUGGACAAUGGGGGCAACCCUGAUCCAGCCAUGCCGCGUGCGGGAAGAAGGCCUCGGUUGUAA
rnacentral:rRNA from 1 species